rnacentral:rRNA from 1 species
UAACGCGUAAUCAACCUGCCCUUCAGAGGGGGACAACAGUUGGAAACGACUGCUAAUACCGCAUAAGCCCACAGCUCGGCAUCGAGCAGAGGGAAAAGGAGUGAUCCGCUUUGAGAUGGCCUCGCGUCCGAUUAGCUAGUUGGUGAGGUAAUGGCCCACCAGGGCGACGAUCGGUAGCCGGACUGAGAGGUUGAACGGCCACAUUGGGACUGAGACACGGCCCAG